AUCCAGACGACGAGUCCCAAAUAGGACGAAACGCGCGUGCUCGAU
rfam:Schistosoma mansoni strain Puerto Rico chromosome 1, complete genome